UGCCAGACCCUGCAACCUACCCCUUCAUUUCCUCUCUGCAUCAGACUCCACAGGCUGGCUCUUUGGCUUCUUCUCUCCCAGUGGGUGGUGGCUUUCCCUGGACUCCCUCCUUGGACUUCUGCUACACUAUGUAGCUGCCUCACUUCAACAUCAUCUGAAUCAUUGUCAGCAAAUUUGAAUACCCUUCUCUUCUGGACUUUGCAGAAGAUGUGACAAAAGCAGGCAUUGGACUAAUGAAUGUAGGUCAACAAGGUACAAACCAGGUCUCUGGAGUUGAAGACUACACAUAGUUAUAGCAAUAGUUUUCCUUGUUAACGAAUGCAG